rnacentral:rRNA from 2 species
UGAUUAGAAGCUUGCUUCUAUGACGUUAGCGGCGGACGGGUGAGUAACACGUGGGCAACCUGCCUGUAAGACUGGGAUAACUUCGGGAAACCGAAGCUAAUACCGGAUAGGAUCUUCUCCUUCAUGGGAGAUGAUUGAAAGAUGGUUUCGGCUAUCACUUACAGAUGGGCCCGCGGUGCAUUAGCUAGUUGGUGAGGUAACGGCUCACCAAGGCAACGAUGCAUAGCCGACCUGAGAGGGUGAUCGGCCACACUGGGACUGAGACACGGCCCAGACUCCUACGGGAGGCAGCAGUAGGGAAUCUUCCGCAAUGGACGAAAGUCUGACGGAGCAACGCCGCGUGAGUGAUGAAGGCUUUCGGGUCGUAAAACUCUGUUGUUAGGGAAGAACAAGUACAAGAGUAACUGCUCGUACCUUGACGGUACCUAA